ACGAACGCUGGCGGCGUGCUUAACACAUGCCAGUCGAACGGAAAGGCCCUGCUUUUGUGGGGUGCUCGAGUGGCGAACGGGUGAGUAACACGUGAGUAACCUGCCCUUGACUUUGGGAUAACUUCAGGAAACUGGGGCUAAUACCGGAUAGGAGCUCCUGCUGCAUGGUGGGGGUUGGAAAGUUUCGGCGGUUGGGGAUGGACUCGCGGCUUAUCAGCUUGUUGGUGGGGUAGUGGCUUACCAAGGCUUUGACGGGUAGCCGGCCUGAGAGGGUGACCGGCCACAUUGGGACUGAGAUACGGCCCAGACUCCUACGGGAGGCAGCAGUGGGGAAUAUUGCACAAUGGGCGGAAGCCUGAUGCAGCAACGCCGCGUGCGGGAUGACGGCCUUCGGGUUGUAAACCGCCUUCGCCUGUGACGAAGCGUGAGUGACGGUAAUGGGUAAAGAAGCACCGGCUAACUACGUG
rnacentral:rRNA from 1 species